rnacentral:rRNA from 1 species
AGCAGCCGCGGUAAUUCCAGCUCCAAUAGCGUAUAUUAAAGUUGUUGCAGUUAAAAAGCUCGUAGUUGAAUUUCGGGGUCGGUAGAUUGGUCGUGCCUCUGGUAUGCACUGGUCUUACUGGCUCCUCCUUCCUGAUGAACCGUAAUGCCAUUAAUUUGGUGUUGCGGGGAGACUGGACUGUUACUUUGAAAAAAUUAGAGUGUUUAAAGCAGGCUAACGCUUGAAUACAUCAGCAUGGAAUAAUAGAAUAGGACGUGUGGUUCUAUUUUGUUGGUUUCUAGGACCGCCGUAAUGAUUAAUAGGGACAGUCGGGGGCAUCAGUAUUCAAUUGUCAGAGGUGAAAUUCUUGGAUUUAG